UUUAACUAGUAUUAUACUAGCUAAUAAAAAUAACAGUGAUUAAAUCUGUACCAUAUCAAACAAGUCGCAUCACUUACAAUGGGGGAAUGUCAUCGCGGAAGUGCGGUCUGGCUGUCAGUUGCAACCACACAUAACCAUGUGGUGUGGUCGUAUGGUAUAUGGUCUGCGGCAGGGGUGGUCAAGCUGUUGAUUGACCGGUCAAUCAAAAAUAAGGAUUAAUUAACAACGUAUUAUCAAUAUAUAAGAUAAACAAAAUAUAUUGAUAUCAAGUUUUUGUUUUAAAAAUGUAAUUAUUAAAUUUAGUAAUAUUAUUAAGGUAGGUAAUAAUUAUCGCUGGGUUGGGUUGGCGAUGUGAUUGCGUAGAACAGAAAAAGUAAACUUUCGAUUUAUGCUAGUGAUUUUAACAAUGAAAAAACUAUGAUGAAUUUGGAUAAUUUAAGGACGUCAAUCCCAUUUUUAUAGUCGCUUUUUGUCAACAUUACGAAAACACAAAAAUUCAUCACUUUCUUCUUCUUCUCACCGUCCAAUCACCUAAUAACUCUAUGAUGAGCUAAUAAAAUAAUAUCUAAAAACCCAACUCACCCACAAAGAAAACCUAAUCAAUCAACAAAACGAAUCUAAUCAGUUCGCAACGCGUCAAUAAAAACGAGAUCCAAGUCGUAUCAGUUGACCACCCCUGUUUGGCGACAACUGCAGAUUGAGUGCGCCUGCGCAUCAAGGUUAUUGCCUCCGCCGUGUGAACCAGCCACUGGUCUAGGAUAUGAGACUUGUGGGAAUCGAGCCUCAUAUUUUGUAUAGCCUGGAGGCAUAUUAUUUACUGGAAACUAGUAUUUAUUUAUUGUAUUAUGUUAGCUGCUGAUAAAAAAAGUGACUUUGAUACGACGUCAUAAAAUGAAUCAAUAAAAAAAGACUUAGCUUAUGCUAAUAAAACAGUAAUGACGAAAACUACUCAAUAGGAGAAAUAGGCCCAAAUGUAAGGCGGGGGCUUUUUUUAUAAAUCCUCUUGUACACCACUAACACCACCCACUCCCUCGGGAAACGAAGUGGGUGUUGUUAGACUCUUACUGACUAAACCUGAACCGCCGUGCUAUGUCACCGUUUUUGUGUCGCUGUACGACAAUGCGUUGCAAUCCCUCAUAUACGACUGUUUUAGGCCUGCUAGACCUAAUUCACUCCAAACGUUCGGGUCUCAGACCUGGGACAAUCCUGUACUACCAGAUGAUUGAACGAUUCCCGAAAGAUAUGUCAUUUAAUUUGGUUUACAAUCGACAUUUUUCAAAAUGGUCCUACUUCUGUAUUACGGCACAUGCUGCGAUAUUGUAUAUCGUAUUAUUUUUAAUGUUAGUGUGAUAAAAUUUAUCAGCAAUGGCUUAUUACCUAAGCAACGGCUCGAUUGCUGCUUGCACUUCUUUGUGUAUUUCGUUGUGUUUUUAUAAUGGAUAGGUCAAGUACAUCACGCCCAAACAUUGACCGUACUUCUAACAAAUUUAUAACCCAUCCAUCUUUAAUUAUUUAAGCAGCCUCUCUGCCUACCCCAACACCAUAUCAAUUGGUGUUUAAGUCCUCCAUGAUUUAACGCAUAUGCGUCAUGGCCAGAUACGACCAUAACCUACGCUAUAGUGUUGUGGGGGGUCAAUGUCACCGUUAGUGUGACAGUUGUGUAUCAUGCCUAUUGAUGUAAAGGCGUGAACAUAGUGCGUCAGGAUUUUAUGAAAGUUAAUUUUUAGAUUCUUUUGUGUGACUUGGUCUAAAUAUUUUAGACAAAUUUCGCUGUGAAUGAACUAAAUAUUUUAGAUAAACUUCGCUGUGAAUGAAUGUGAAAAAGGAUAACAAAUAUUUAAAUUAAAAGAGACAAGUUUGGGCAACACAAAAAAGGUUAAUAAUUAGAUUUUACAGUAACAAAAGAUAUUAUCGAUAGCAUACAUAUUUCCAUUUUAAUAUUACUUUUGCCAAUCUAUACCAGACAUAGAAAUCAGUUCAAAUGGACAGGACAAGAUACUCAUAUGCAAAGUACCACAACCUUUUUUAACAAGUAUCACCUGUAAAAAGCACUUCAAAUGCCUACUGUAAUUUUUAUAUGAUUGCAGUAAUUUUUCAACAUGCGACGACCAUUCAAAACAAAAUUUUCAUAAUACUCAUGUACUAGUAUAAUCCUCGUAAAUUGCUAAAGCGCAGGAACUUUGUCAUACUAAAGGGCAAAUGACGUCAUAGUGACGCAAAAAAGUAGUAUUAAAAAGAGCAUGCAAUAGACGUCACUUUACUUCACUAAAAUGGCGGCCAGGCGUAUUAGCAAUUUGCGGGGAUAGUAAGUCUAUUUCAUUGUGAACUAAGCCUUAGGACGCACAUCGGACAUACGUCCACAUCGACUCUAAUGGAAUCUAAGACAUGCAAUGCGUUUGUCGAGGUUUUUGUAAUGGACCACUUUGUUGAGAUAAAUUGGAUUUUAUAGUAAGCUGAAGCAGUUUAGUUUAAACACACCGAGUUUUUCUCGUGAGACUUGCUUGAGUGUUAGUUACUUAGGUAGUGAUGAUAUCUAAGGUUAAAAUAAUAUUGAAAUUGAGAUUGAUUGUUUAAAAUGGUAAUGUUAUAGAAUAGAAAAGGUCUUGAAAUUUCAUUCAAUAAAUUCUAGAUUUUACCAAAAAAAUAAUGUUUUUAUGCUAACUUGA